GGAAGUUCUUUCUUUUCAAAAACAUAGUCUGAGUGGCUGAGAGGGAGGAGAGAGUACAGGUGACAUUCAAGAUCAGGCUGCAUGUCUUUCAAUCUGAGACAUCCUGGCACAAGCAGAUAUGUCCAUGCUAUGAGGAGUUUGAACCUCUAUUGAGGAGCCUUGUCACUGUCUCCUUCAUGUCCUUGUUCCUCAGGCUGUAAAUGAAGGGGUUCAGCAUGGGGGUAACCACAGUAAACAUAAUGGUGGCUACUGUAUCCUGGGUGAAGGAGUCUGGAGGUCGUAUGUAGAUCCCCAGAACUGUCCCAUAGAACAAAAUGACCACGGUUAAGUGGGAGCUACACGUGGAAAAUGCCUUGUGCCUGCCCUUGGCAGAAGGUAUCUGAAAGACUGCCACAGCGAUUUGGACGUAAGAGAACACAAUGAGAAUGCAGGGGCCACAAAGAAGACCACAGCUCCCAGGAAGAGAAGUUGAUUGACUUGUUUGUCUGAACAGGUAAACUUCAUGAGCAGAUAAGCAUCACAGUAGAAGUGAGAGACCUCUGGAAUCGAGGAGCAGAAGACACGUGGCUAGCCAAGAGCCUGGGGAUGAUAUUGGUGGUGAAGCAGAUGUCAUCAAAGGAAAUGUUGGUGAGGAAGAAGUACAUGGGGGUGUGUAAGCGCGGGUCAGAGCUGAUGGCCAUGAAGAUGAGUGUGUUACCAGCCACCGUGACCAAGUACAUGCACAGGAAAGCCCAGAAGAGGAUUCGUUGCUGUUGUGGGUCAUUGGUGAUGCCAAGCAGGAGAAACCCGCUGACUCCAGUCUCAUUCUCUCCCGCCAUGGACAUAUUCCAGCGUUUCAGGCUCCUGGAGGGAACGGGGUCCAGUGUUGCCCAGUGUGGCCCUGAAAUUUCUACAUAGCAAAAGAUGCACCCUGAAUUACUGAACUUUGCCUCCACCUCCUGGUACUGAUGUAGCAGCCAUCACUGAAUUUGAAUUCUUAAAGAGUACCUUUUAGUUUCAUUCAGGUUCAAAGUGAAAUGGAAGAAAUGAGAAGUUGUUGUUCAGUUGCCCACUCAGGCAUUGAGAAGACUGCACAUGCAGUGGGCUGUUUUGUCCUUGUCAGACCACCAGAUAAUCAGGACCAGAUCCUCUCCUUCUAUAAUACUGAUAUGUACCAGAAUGCUCUAAAGAUCCAAGGAGAGGAGGAUGGGCAGGCUGCAGCUCUGUGGAGUUCUUGCCCAGCGUUUAUGGGGUCCUCCUUUGAUGCUUAGCGGGAUGACUGAGGCUGUAGCUCGGUGGAGCACUAGCCUAGCAUCCAUGAGGUUCUGGCUUGACCUGUGCACAGCACAAGGCUGGAGUGGUGGUGAACACUUGUGAUUCCAGCACUCUGGAGGUGAAGGCAAGAGGGUCAGAAAUCCAAGGUCCUCUUCAAUCACAUAAUUUGAGACAAGCCUGGAGGUAUAUGACAACCUGUCUCAAAAAGUGCAUUCAUAUAUGCACAUACAAACAGGUAGAAAGGCAUACAGGAAAGAAGGAAGGAAGUUAGAGGAGCAAGAGAGAAGGAAGAAGGAAGAAUAAGAAAGACAAUGAAGAGACAAUUGAGAUGUAUCAAACAUUUUUAAGAGUCUCAAAGUGUGGGCUGGAGAGAUGGCUCAGUGGUUAAGAGCACCAACUGCUCUUCCCAAGGUCCUGAGUUCAAAUCUCAGCAACCACAUGGUGGCUCACAACCAUCUGUAAUGAGAUCUGAUGCCCUCUUCUGCUGUGUCUGAAGACAGCUACAGUG
ensembl:lncRNA